CGGAAGUAGUUCAGUGGUAGAACAUCACCUUGCCAAGGUGGGGGUCGCGGGUUCGAACCCCGUCUUCCGC
rnacentral:tRNA from 2 species